UGGACACAAUAUAAAAAUGUACCUAGCCAAAAAAAUAAAGCUACUAUAGGCAAUAUGGGCAUUUAGUAAAUUCCUUUUAUUGUUUAUUGUUUGUUGGGUGUUUUUAUUUUUUGGGCUUUUUAUUCUUUGUUUGA
rnacentral:ribozyme from 1 species